GACGAACGCUGGCGGCGUGCUUAACACAUGCAAGUCGAACGAAGUGGCGAACGGGUGAGUAAUACGUGAGUAACCUGCCCUCCUUUUUGGGAUAAGCCUUGGCAACGGGGUCUAAUACCGACUAAAGGGGGAUGGGCUCGCGGCCUAUCAGCUUGUUGGUGGGGUGAUGGCCUACCAAGGCGGUGACGGGUAGCCGGCCUGAGGGGGUGACCGGCCACAUUGGGACUGCGCAACGGCCCAGAGUUCUACGGGAGGAAGCAGUGGGGGAUAUUGCACAAGGGGCGAAAGCCUGAUGCAGCGACGCCGCGUGGGGGAUGAAGGCUUUCGGGUUGUAAACCUCUUUCGCUAUCGAAGGGGUAGGUGGAGAAGAAGCGCCGGCUAACUACGUGCCAGCAGCCGCGGUAAUUC
rnacentral:rRNA from 1 species